rnacentral:rRNA from 1 species
GUAUUCCUACAGGCAGCAGUAGGGAAUAUUGCUCAAUGGGGGAAACCCUGAAGCAGCAACGCCGCGUGGAGGAUGAAGGUUUUCGGAUUGUAAACUCCUUUUGUUAGAGAAGAUAAUGACGGUAUCUAACGAAUAAGCACCGGCUAACUCCGUGCCAGCAGCCGCGGUAAUACGGAGGGUGCAAGCGUUACUCGGAAUCACUGGGCGUAAAGAGCGCGUAGGCGGGAUAGCAAGUCAGAUGUGAAAUCCUAUGGCUUAACCAUAGAACUGCAUUUGAAACCGUUAUUCUAGAGUAUGGGAGAGGU